AGUGAAAUUGCUGGAUUGUAUGGUGAGGAUGUGUUUAGUUCUGUAAGAAACUACCAAAUUGUUUUCCAAAGCGACUGUACCAUUUUGUAUUCCCUCCAGCAGU
rnacentral:pre_miRNA from 1 species